rnacentral:rRNA from 1 species
GAUGAACGCUGGCGGCGUGCCUAAUACAUGCAAGUCGAGCGAAUGGAUUAAGAGCUUGCUCUUAUGAAGUUAGCGGCGGACGGGUGAGUAACACGUGGGUAACCUGCCCAUAAGACUGGGAUAACUCCGGGAAACCGGGGCUAAUACCGGAUAACAUUUUGAACCGCAUGGUUCGAAAUUGAAAGGCGGCUUCGGCUGUCACUUAUGGAUGGACCCGCGUCGCAUUAGCUAGUUGGUGAGGUAACGGCUCACCAAGGCAACGAUGCGUAGCCGACCUGAUAGGGUGAUCGGCCACACUCGGACUGAGACACGGCCCAGACUACUACGGGAGGCAGCAGUAGGGAAUCUUCCGCAAUGGACGAAAGUCUGACGGAGCAACGCCGCGUGAGUGAUGAAGGCUUUCGGGUCGUAAAACUCUGUUGUUAGGGAAGAACAAGUGCUAGUUGAAUAAGCUGACACCUUGACGGUACCUAACCAGAAAGCCACGGCUAACUACGUGCCAGCCGCCGCCGUAA